CAGCAGGGCAGCUCUGGAAACCGCAGGCAGAGGAAGUGCGGAAACCAGACUUCACUUACCGCAGGAUUUUGCCUAGAGCUGCCCUACAUGAAACAGCCAGAAAUAAUUUCAAGACCACAGAAGUGCUGAGUUUUUAGUGGUGGCAGAUCCCUGCUGACAUCCCACCGGGCGUGUUUGAUGGCUUCCCUCUACUCCACACCAGAUGCCUCUGGAUGAUAUGAGCUCAGAAUGCACUUCUCCCACAAGCUCAAAAGAGGCCACAGCGUGAGCAGGUCCCAUCUGCCAAGGGAUUCCACCGCUUGCAUGGAGGCACCAGCAGCCAUUUCUCUAGUUUACGUUGGUGUGAAGCUUUCCAGCAGAAUAAAAGGGAUUGAACUUGGGUUCUUGCGCUUGCAAGGCAGGCAGCGAAACCACUGAGCUAAAUUCCCAGCGGCAUGAUAUUUUUAAAAAUAUGCCAUGAAGUAAACAGGCCUCCUAUGCCACACAUUCUCACUGUGAUGUACUGUGCCAGUACUGUGAUGUACUUGACCGAAAGCAACAGGGCCAAGCAACCAUGGACUGAAGCCUCUGAAACUAGUAUCGUCCUGCUGACAAUCCUUUCCUAGGACUGCCUGUUGCCACCAGGAAAAAGAUGCCACAGCCCCUCUAUCUUUCAGGAGUAGGUGCUCAGUGACUAAUGCACGAGAAUCUCACGUGAGAGGCGCCCUGCACCAAGUGUGGAAGCGAGGUUGAGGGGGUGAUUAGAGAUCCUCAGAGAGGAGGAGGAGUGGACCACUAGUCACUGGGCUUAUUUUCAAGCUGGAGAAGACCAGGGAGACUUGUGCUUUGCAUAAACAACUGUAAUCUUCACAACUACAUGCUCAUUAUUACUGUCCCCAUCUGACACGUCAGGAAACUGAAGCUUAGGGAACUCGGAAAACUUGCUCAAGUCACAUGGCUAAUACAGGACCCACUUACUAAUCAUUCCCCAAAUUCUUUCUUUACAUAAUUCCAGUGAAGCUAUUUUAGCCAAUGAAAAAUAUUUUCUCUCUUUGAAAUAUAAUAUGGCUGGCCAAGUGAUCAUCGCAGAUACACA
rnacentral:lncRNA from 1 species